rnacentral:ncRNA from 1 species
ACCGGGAUGGACACACCGCUGGUGUACCAGUUGUUCUGCCAAGAGCAUCGCUGGGUAGCUAUGUGUGGACGGGAUAAACGCUGAAAGCAUCUAAGCGUGAAGCCCCCCUCAAGAUGAGAUUUCCCAUCACUUCAAGUGAGUAAGACCCCUGAGAGAUGAUCAGGUAGAUAGGUUGGGAGUGGAAGUACAGCGAUGUAUGGAGCGGACCAAUACUAAUCGGUCGAGGACUUAACCAA